UUGAUAACCGAGGUCGUGUAGAGCCGCCGUGUAGAGAGUCUUUAGUCACCGCCCAGCUCUCGGUUGUCCUCGUCCUCGUCGUUGUCCGUCCUCGUCGUCUGUCGUCCGUCGUCGUUGUCGUCGUCGUCGUCGUCGCGACGACCGCAAUCACUAUCACGGAGAAGAGGAGCACAAUGUGUAUAGAGUUGGUUCCUACCGUAUGGGGUAACACUCCCGCGUCGCUGUCAUGCCUCCACGUCGUGUAUUUCCUGUGUCAUAGAACAAGAUUCCUGAGAGGUAAAAUUUGUUACUGAGGGGAGAGAUAAAAAAAAGAAGAAGGCUAGAAGGAUAAGGAGAGAGGGAGCGAUUAGAUUUACAUUUUCGGGACAGGGCCGUAUCGACGGAAGAAUAUCCUAAGUGCGCGACUGCCAAUAUCUGACAUUUUUCUCGCCGACAAUACGUUCUACAAGUGACAUCGAAGAUGUUGCCGUGUCGACGACCCGCAUCGUCUAUGCACCCUUGUAAAUUAGAAAAUUCCGUGCUUGCUAGUUCAACAGUGAGACAGGGAAGAGGGUACUCGUAGAAAAGGCAGGAACGAGCGACCGGAAAAGGACGAGAAGGGAACUAAGAGGAAAGUAAUGACACAGGGAAAAAGUAAAGGAAGAGAAAAAAAUUUAUUAAUGCAUUCUCUACUUCAUGCAGUAACAACUUACAAUAGCAAUUAUUGGCGUGCUUUCUAACAUCUCCCUUUACGAAAAUCAAUGCUCAAGAUUAAUAAAUGAGUUUCUGUGUUUCAGAGUGACUUACAUCGACGUGCUUUCUUUCACAUACAAAUUCCCCUCAAAUAGUUUAAUUAAUUAAACUUGUACAAAAAAAAA